rnacentral:rRNA from 1 species
UGCCAGCCGCCGCGGUAAUACGGAGGGUGCAAGCGUUGUUCGGAAUUAUUGGGCGUAAAGGGCACGUAGGCGGUGAACUAAGUUGAAAGUGAAAUCCCAAAGCUUAACUUUGGAACUAUUUUCAAAACUGGUUCACUGGAGUUCGAUAGGGGAUAGUGGAAUUUCUAGUGUAGAAAUAGAAUUCAUAAAUAUUAGAAGGAACACCAGUGGCGAAGGCGACUAUCUGGAUCGAUACUGACGCUGAGGUGCGAAAGCAUGGGGAGCAAACAGGAUUAGAUA